rnacentral:rRNA from 1 species
AACGAACGCUGGCGGCAUGCCUAACACAUGCAAGUCGAACGAGACCUUCGGGUCUAGUGGCGCACGGGUGCGUAACGCGUGGAAACCUGCCCUUAGGUUCGGAAUAACUCCCCGAAAGGGGUGCUAAUACCGGAUAAUGUCCUCGGACCAAAGAUUUAUCGCCUUUGGAUGGGCCCGCGUUGGAUUAGCUAGUUGGUAGGGUAAAAGCCUACCAAGGCGACGAUCCAUAGCUGGUCUGAGAGGAUGAUCAGCCACACUGGGACUGAGACACGGCCCAGACUCCUACGGGAGGCAGCAGUGGGGAAUAUUGGACAAUGGGCGAAAGCCUGAUCCAGCAAUGCCGCGUGAGUGAUGAAGGCCUUAGGGUUGUAAAGCUCUUUUACCCGGGAUGAUAAUGACAGUACCGGGAGAAUAAGCUCCGGCUAACUCCGUG